ACCCGGGUUGCGGACAGUGUCUGGUGGGUAGUUUGACUGGGGCGGUCUCCUCCUAAAGAGUAACGGAGGAGCACGAAGGUUGGCUAAUCCUGGUCGGACAUCAGGAGGUUAGUGCAAUGGCAUAAGCCAGCUUGACUGCGAGCGUGACGGCGCGAGCAGGUGCGAAAGCAGGUCAUAGUGAUCCGGUGGUUCUGAAUGGAAGGGCCAUCGCUCAACGGAUAAAAGGUACUCCGGGGAUAACAGGCUGAUACCGCCCAAGAGUUCAUAUCGACGGCGGUGUUUGGCACCUCGAUGUCGGCUCAUCACAUCCUGGGGCUGAAGUAGGUCCCAAGGGUAUGGCUGUUCGCCAUUUAAAGUGGUACGCGAGCUGGGUUUAGAACGUCGUGAGACAGUUCGGUCCCUAUCUGCCGUGGGCGCUGGAGAACUGAGGGGGGCUGCUCCUAGUACGAGAGGACCGGAGUGGACGCAUCACUGGUGUUCGGGUUGUCAUGCCAAUGGCACUGCCCGGUAGCUAAAUGCGGAAGAGAUAAGUGCUGAAAGCAUCUAAGCACGAAACUUGCCCCGAGAUGAGUUCUCCCUGAGACUUAAAGUCUCCUGAAGGAACGUUGAAGACGACGACGUUGAUAGGCCGGGUGUGUAAGCGCAGCGAUGCGUUGAGCUAACCGGUACUAAUGAACCGUGAGGCUUAACCCUACAACGCCGAAG
rnacentral:rRNA from 1 species